rnacentral:lncRNA from 1 species
GGGAUUGGGGAGCUUUUCAACUGCAAAUCAAUGGAUAAAUGAACCGAUACCCGAGGUUUCCACCUCUCCGUCUCAGUCUCUUUGCUCUCAAACUUCCACCUCUGGUUCCUGUCUUACGCUAUCCAAUUUUAAUUGCCUCGACGACGAUGAUUUCUUCAACUUCUCUCCCAAUUUCCCAGGUUUCGAGUCUAACCGAAUUGAUGUUUUUCAAUUUGACUCGAAACCUCAAUUUAUCAAUCUAACCGCUCCUAAGCCCUUUGAAUUUACACCUCAAAUCACUGAACUUUCAGCUGUAAAACCUCCAACUCCUUCGAGUUCGAGUUCCAGCUCUCAUAAUCGAAAACCGUCGCUCAAAAUAUCGUUACCGCAUAAAGUAGAGUGGAUUCAAUUCCGCAAACCGGAUUCAACUAAGGCACAGCCGACGAAUUCAAAUUCCGAAGACAAAAAUAAGCAUUACAGAGGUGUCCGACAGAGACCGUGGGGGAAGUUUGCAGCCGAGAUCCGCGAUCCGAACCGAAGAGGUUCACGGAUCUGGUUGGGAACCUUUGAUACCGCAAUAGAAGCCGCAAAGGCUUACGACCGAGCCGCUUUUAAGCUACGUGGCUCGAAAGCGAUUCUUAACUUCCCUCUCGAAGCCGGGAAGCUGGAUGUAACCGCCGUCGACGGAGAGAGGAAACGGAGCAGAGACGACGGCGCUGGGAAUGAGAAACAAGUUAAGGCCGUGAAGAGAGCAAAUGAUGACGUGACUAAAGCGAGAGAUAACGGCGAUGCGCCUUUAACGCCGUCAAAUUGGACAUCAUUUUUGGAUAACAUGCCAUUGUUAUCGCCGUUAUCUCCGCACCCGCCGUUAGGCUUUCAACAAGUUAAAGUCAUCUAAUGAUACUGUAUAUAAAUUCUUUUAUUUGUUUUUAGAAUUCUGGAAUUCUCUUCUUUCAAAAGAAAAAAAAAAUUGGGAUUCUCUAAAGUAGUAUCAACCUAAUUAUCCCUAAACUUUCGAUAACUCAAUUUUCAAAAACUUACAUAAUAAUCACUAAUAUUAUCGAAUUAUUAAUGUUAACUACGCGUCAAUUAACUUUCGUUAAUAACACUAAUUAAUAAUUUAGUCAUUAAACUAUAACUCAAAUAUCAAUUUGAUAUUUAAUUUUUUUUGCUAAUAUAUAUUAAAAAUAAAUAAAACUUAUUAAAGACUUUCUCCAUAUCAUCACUGUUCUGGCUUAUUUUUAAUUUCUGGAUUUUCAUCAUCUUGAAAUCAACCAUCAUCACUUAAGCUACACAAAUCUACCUCGAUCGCCAUUAAAGCCCAAAGGAAAUAAACCGUAAACAAAAGAAACCAAUGUACUAAAAAUAAAUGAAGAAUCGAAUUAUAGGGGGAAAAAAAAGACUAAAUAGGGUUUUGGCUCAGACUAUGUUAAAUUUACUUUGAAGGUCUCAAAUGGAAUUUAGGAUGGGUAAAUCUAGACCAAAAACCUUUAAUGGAUCAAAUGGAUCGGAAUCGGAAGAGGAGGAUGAUUUGAUUGCAGCUGAGGUGGUUGAGGAGGAGGAGGAAGAUGUAGUAAAAGUUGGGAUUAUCAAAAUAUUUGUAAAUUUCUCAUCAAAAUUUCAUAUCUUAUAGGUUUUUGUUUAACAAUUUUUUUAAAUAUCAAAAUAAUAUUUUAGUUAUAGUUUAGGGACUAAAUUAACUAUUAAUUUUUUAAAUUAACAUGUCAAGUAAUCUUUUUAAAAGAAAUUAGCGGAUAAAUGACUUCAACAACGUCAGUGACUGUUAUGUAAUUUUUGAAAGUUGGGUAUAUUAAAAUAUAAUUUUAAGUAAAAUUAAGAAAUAAUUAAUAAAAUCUAUUAUUUUAUUAUCAAUGAUUGCUUUACGACACAGCUUACGUGCAAAAUUAAAACCUUAUCAACCAAUUUAUUUUUUCUUUUGAUUUGUUUUGUAAUAUGUUUUUUAUCAACCAAUUUCUGAAGACAACGUAUGUAAUAAAAAAUCAUUGCCAAUCUCUUACUUUCGUUAUAAGAAAACUCUUUUCAUUAAUUUUUUGUGUUUUACUUGUGUAUAAAGUUGGUACUUACCACAAAUUUUGAUGUUUUCUUUCCGUCUCAUUUAGUGUUUGAUAGAUUUGUAAAUUUAAAUGGUGAUUGUUCUGUCGAUAGAGUCUUAACUCGAUUGGCAUCAGCAUUGUUGUCGGUGCAAUAGGACGUGAAUAGUUCUAGGCAUUGUAUAAAAAAGAACAGAUACUAUAAAAACUUAUGCGAUAUCAUAUUGUAGAAAUAGAUACUAACCUUUUAAAAAUAUUUAAAAAAUAUAAUCAUUUAAAUAAGUUAUUGAACUUAAUUAAUAAUAUUAAAAUUUAUAUUUUUGUAUAAAUAUAUUUAUGUAUAAUUGAGGUAUAUUAGUAUUAUAUAUAAAAAUAUUUAAAAAUCAUUUAUGCUAAAAAAAAUAUUUUAAAAGUGUUGGUGGCUUGAGUUCAAAUAUUACAAUAAGUAAAUUUUAUGAUACCAAAAAAAAUACUCAUCAAUUAUAUAAAGUAUUCUUUAAUAAGCUUCACAAGCAGGGAAGAAGCUAUAAAUUUUUUAGGGGGCGAAAUUAAAUUGUCUAUUUUUACAAUAAUAAAAAUGCAAUUUCACUGUUUUUAAUACCCUAUAUCUUUAUAGUUUUUAAAGUGAAUUAAUUUUUUUAUCAUUUGAGGGUCAAUGUGCAAUUUUACAAUUACCAAUUUAAAAUUUAUAAAUUAUAAAAUGAUCUAAAUGAAAAAAAAUCAUUUUAAGGGGGUCGGAGUAGCCCCUAGCUCCGCCAUUGUUCACAAAUAUAAUACAUUAUUAAACAAACUCAAAAUAAACGGACAAAAAAAUUAUUUUAUAAAUUAAAUAAUAAGAUCAUUCCAUACUAUGCAUAUAACAAUUCAUAAUUUAAGAAAUAAAUAAUAAAUAAUAAAAUACUUAAAUUUCAAUUUAAAAUUAUUUUUUUUUAGUAUGCACAAGUGAAAUUAAGCAGUACACAUUGGUGCAACCGGUAUGUAUUAAAUUUUACACCGGAAUGAAACUUAAAAUUUGUUGCUCUGGUUUACUACCAUGAUAGAAACUUAACCAAGAAUAAAUAAAUUUUGGAUAAACUGUAUAAAUAGUGACCCAACUAUUAGCGAGUUUUUAUUUUCGUCAUUUAGGUUUAAAAUUUUCUAUUUUAGUCACUAAUGUUAUCGAUAUUUAAUAUUUUGGUCUCCCCUUCAUUGAAUCACUAACGGAAUAAUGACAUGAUCUUUUUUAUUGGCAUAAUAACAAAUUUAGCCCUCCAAUGUUUACAGAUUCUAUCAAAUUGGUCUUAAUUCUAAAAUAAUAAAAAAUUAGCCCUCAACUUUACACAUUCUAUCAAUUUAGCCAUGAUUCUUAAAAUUAAAAAAAACAUAUUUAAAAAUUCAUUUUCUAUAAAAAUACACACUAUUUUAUAAAAAUACAUACAAAAUUAUAAAAAAAUGAAUAUCUAUUUUCUCAGUUUAUAAAAUUUGUUUAUUAAAAUGAUAAAUUUAUAAAUAAAAUAAUUUAAGGGGAAAAAACAAGAAGAAUAAUUAAGUAGAUUUAGGUAUUAUGUUUUUUUUUCCCAACAUUAAUGAUCAUCGUGUGCAAGUUGGGUCAAAAACUACAACAUGAGCUUCAAAAGGGUAAGAUUCAAUGCCUUUAGGUAGUUACCUAGAAUGAGUUUAUUGCGAUUGAGGUUGUGCUUAAGGGCGGGAAUGAUUGUAAACAUAAAAGAGGAUAAGGUCUUAGAGAUCAAGUAGGUGGAAGGUUAUGCCAACAACUUGCAACAAUAGAGGAUGUGAAAACUUAGAAGUUAUGAGUAAGUGUUAUUAAUGCUAAUGAUUGUAUGUGAAGACGGUGCUUAGCACUCGAUAAAUUUAAUGAGGACUAGGAAACAAGGCCAAACAUAUAAUAAAUAAAUUAUUAUUUAUAAAAUACAACUAAAAAAGAAAAGAAAAGAAAUGUAUGAAUUUGGUUUAAGAAUUGUUUGUGGGUUUUUUAAGAAAAUUGUUUUAUUUAUAAUAUUAUUAUUUUAAUAAAUAAAUUUUGUGUUAGAAAAAAGAGAAAAAUGAGUAUGUAUUUAUAAUUUUUGUAUGUAUUUUUAUUGAAAAUUGAACUUUUAAUUUUUUUAAAGUUUUUUUAAUUUUUUUGAAUCAAGGAUAAAUUGACAGAAUGUUAGAACUUAUAAAUAUUAGAGGGAUAAAUUUGUUAUUACGUUAAUAAAAAAUAUCACAUCAACACUUCGCUAGUAAUUUAACAAAUAAGUGAAUAAAAUAUGAUAAUAUUAAUAAUUAAAAUAAAUUUUUUAAAACUAAACGAACAAAAAAAAUUCGUUAAUAAUUGUGUGAAUAUUGAUAAAGUUUGCCCACAAAUUCUAUCCAAAUAUUUUAUCCAAAGCACAACUUCAUUUUGUCGGGAACCAACCAAGUAAAACUAAACAAAACAUAAACAAUGCUUCGAGAUUUGAAAUUAACGUUAACUACUAGGCACUAGCCGCCGCCGCCGCCGCCUGCUCCUCCUCCUCUGUCUUACACACCUUUUUCAAUGAACCUGAGGAUGAUUAAUGAGGAGGCUAUUCAACCAAGUCCUAUUUGUUUAAAUCUCAAAAUUUUGUCUGACAAGGUUUUGGCUGGUAUAAACAGAUUAAGCAAGAAAACGAGUUUAUUUAUAAAUAAUAAUAAAAUGGAUAAAGCCUUUAAUUUAAUGUCACUGUCCAAAAUCCAUCUAACCUAAUAAUUAUAUCUACAUUUUUAAUUUUAUUUUUAAUUUUAAAGAGAUUAUUUUUCAAUAAAAGUUGAAUCACUUUUUUUUAAUAAAAAUGUUAACUAAAACAUUUUACAUAACACUAUUUAUUUCAUAAGUUAUGUCAACAAGUGAUUUAAAGUUUAUAAAAAUAUUAAAAAAAGUCAAAAUUUAUAAUGAUUCAAAAAACAACAUGUGCAUAUGAAUUAUUACGUGGGUUGCAUAGUUUAAGUCCCUAAAGUAUAUUGCUUUUUCAGUUUCCACUGAAGUGGGCAAAAAAUAUAUGGACUAAAGUGAGAAAAACAAUAUACUUUAGGGACUUAAAUUGUGCAUUAAACUUAUUAUUAUUAUUUUAGAUACAUAUUCUAUAAUAAUUAAAUUUUUUCUUUCACAAAGUGAAUGUGCAUGUAAUUAAUUUUGAUAGAGUUAUCUAAAUUAUUCUGAUUUGUUAGUUGGACAAUAUAUUUAAUUAUUCAAUGAUGUAUUACGAUAGUAACUUUUUGUAUUAUUACCAUUUUUUUUUUUUUUUGAUGUUCAGAACAGAAGGACUUAAAUCUCCUAAAUGCAACCAAGUCUUUUGAGAGAUUGACCCGACCCACGUUAAUGCCUGUCAGCUCCUAAACUGUAGUUGGUUAAAAUAUGCCAUUAAUAUCUGUAUUUGAGAAAAAUUGAUAUUUAGUCCUCUCGAGUUUAUCAAUAAAUUUUUUUAUUUAUUCUGUAAAAGUUUCGAUUUACGAUUUAAAAACCAUAGUACAAUCAUUGAUAUUUUAGGUAAUUUUUAUCAAAAUUUAUUAAUUUGAUAUGUUAAUUAGACUGCUUUCAUGAGACAUAUGAUUAAUAAAAUUGAAAAUACAACGCUCUUAAUGACUGGACUUGAAAUUUUAAACUAAGAAAGAAAGAGAAUUUAAUUUUUAACUUUAAAAGUAAAGGGACUAAGUUUUAUUUUCUGUAAAAGUAGAAGGACUAAAAACAGAUUUUGACCAUAGUAAUUUUACAUCGCACGUUGCUUCUUGGUUGCAUCGCGGAAGCUCCUGUUGAAUAGUCAGAAAAUUCAACUUGCCUUAGAUCCCUUAUAAAUACCUUUCCACUCCCCCCUUCCACUCUCAAGUGAGAGAACUAAGAAUCUCCAAUUCAAACCCACAACUAAAAAAAAUCCUUAUCUUCUCAUUUUCUCUCUUGUUUUCAGUUUUUGGAUAUGGAAAGUAGCAGUGAAGUGUCGAGCAGGCUUCAAUAUAUUGAACAAUAUUUACUUGAUGAAAAUCAAUUUCCUCCUGUGGGAUUGUGGAGCUUUUUAAAUGAAAAUCAAUGGACAAAUUAUCCGAAAUCCGAGGUUUCCACCUCUCAAUCUCACUCUCUUUACUCUCAAACUUCCACCUCUGAUUCCUGUCUUACAGCAUCCAAUUUUAAUAGCCUUGACGAAGAUGAUUUCUUCAACUUCUCUACCAGUUUCCCAGGUUUCGAGUCUAACCAUAGUGAUGUUUUCGAAUUUGACUCCAAACCUCAAUUUAUCCAUCUCACCACGCCUAAGCCUCUCACUUCCGACGCCACUGCUUGUGAAUUCCAAGUGAAAUCUCGAUCUUCUUCGAAUUCGACUUCCAAUUCUCAGAGUCGAAAACCUUCGCUGAAAAUCUCGUUGCCGCAUAAAGUGGAGUGGAUUCAGUUCGGCAAACCGGAUUUAACCGAGGUAAAGCCGAAGAAUUCAAAUACCGAAGAGAGAAGUAAGCAUUACAGAGGAGUCCGACAAAGGCCGUGGGGAAAGUUCGCAGCCGAGAUCCGAGAUCCUAACCGAAAAGGUUCACGGGUCUGGUUGGGAACUUUUGACACCGCCAUAGAAGCCGCAAAGGCUUACGACCGAGCCGCCUUUAAGUUACGUGGCUCAAAAGCGAUUCUUAACUUCCCUCUCGAAGCUGGGAAGUUGGAUGUAAUCGCCGCUGACGGAGAGAGGAAACGGAGCAGAGACGACGGCGCUGGGGAUGAGAGAGAAGUUAAAGCCGUGAAGAGAGUAAAUGAUGAUGUGACUAAAGCGAGAGAUAACGGCGAUGCGCCUUUAACGCCGUCAAAUUGGACA